AGGAUUGAGGAAAUUCUCUAAGGCAUGUUACUAUAUUCAAAACAUUGUUUUAAUUGGUUAAUUGUGAAUUAGUAAGUAGUGACUAUGAUUAAGUAUGUGCUUAAGUGUUAAAUUGACUCAAUUCUGUGGGAAUGAUAAUCUUUAACAUGUCAUGUGCAUUGGAAAUCCCUAAGGCAAACGUUGGAAGGUUUAGGUUGUUUUUGUUUGUUUGGUUUCGUUUUGUUUUUUUUUUAUGUUUUAUUUGUUUUAUUUUGCUCGAGGACUAGCAAUAGCUAAGUGUGGGGGAAUUUGAUAGACGCAUAUUUAUGCGACUUAGUUAACUAGUUUUCUUGCAUUUACGUUAUUAGUUCUUAGUUAUUUUAGUACUUUAAGCCAUUUUCGUGUGUUUGUAGGUCCAAAGGGCUAAGGUAGCAAGAAAGUGCAUUUUGGAGCAGUUUUGAGCUUGGAAUGGAUUACAUAUGAUAUGAGCAAGAUGGAUGGACGAAUUUGAAGACAAAAGAGGCUAGGAACAUGCUAAAAAUUUGGUGAAACAAAUACAAGUUGCAAGAAGGGAUAAAUUUCUAGAAGGAUUGGCCAAAACUUCACUCAAAACCAUG
rnacentral:lncRNA from 1 species